AAUGACGGCAUAUGAUGCAAACGAAUUGCUAAGCCUAAAAGGACUUGGGUGAAGAAUUGUGAAAACCCUCAAUAUUUAGCUCGGGAUGAAUGGAUUAGAGGGUAGUUAGCGAUCGUGUGAGCUGGUCUGUUAAGGACUCAAACUUUAAAUUAGGAGUAAGUUAUCGUAUAUGACGGUGGUGUGUAUGCAAAAUCAUUGGAAACCAUUCAAGAAUAGCCUUUGAAACAGAGAAAAGUGUUUUUGUCAUUGUGCGCCAAGACUCUUGAAAGAAGAACAUCAGGGGGAACAUACUCUGUCAAUAUCAAGUUCAAAGUGAAAGAAAAGCAUCGCACCAUAUUAUCUAGGGUCUCACUAUGAUAAUCAAAAGGUAUUUCCAAAACGUCUAUCCUUCCUUUGUCUAUGGAUUCCUUAUUCUUACAAGUUUGAUGAAAGUACAUCCAAUGGUCAAUGCUGGUGAUUUGGGGAAAAUGUGCAACUCGACUCAAACAAACCAGACAAAUUGCACAAGGAAUGAGACUGGUUCUCGUAAUCAAAAUGAUAACAAACCCAAGAACAGUAUCUCGUUUGGUUAUGAAACAUUAAUAACAAUAAUGGUGGUCUC